GACGAACGCUGGCGGCGUGCUUAACACAUGCAAGUCGAACGGAAAGGCCCUGCUUUUGUGGGGUGCUCGAGUGGCGAACGGGUGAGUAACACGUGAGUAACCUGCCCUUGACUUUGGGAUAACUUCAGGAAACUGGGGCUAAUACCGGAUAGGAGCUCCUGCUGCAUGGUGGGGGUUGGAAAGUUUCGGCGGUUGGGGAUGGACUCGCGGCUUAUCAGCUUGUUGGUGGGGUAGUGGCUGACCAAGGCUUUGACGGGUAGCCGGCCUGAGAGGGUGACCGGCCACCUUGGGCCUGAGAUACGGCCCAGACUCCUACGGGAGGCAGCAGUGGGAAAUAUUGCACAAUGGGCGGAAGCCUGAUGCAGCGACGCCGCGUGCGUGAUGACGGCCUUCGGGUUGUAAACCGCUUUCGCCUGUGACGAAGCGUGAGUGACGGUAAUGGGUAAAGAAGCACCGGCUAACUACGUG
rnacentral:rRNA from 1 species